CUUGAGCGAGAAAUAAACCUCCAUUAUGUUAGGCUACUGAGAUUUGAAUUUGUUUGUUAUAGCAGCUAGUGUGUUACCCUGACUACUGUGGAUACUGACAGAGAAAUUCCUGAAAGAUGAAAAUGGAGGAGAAUGAUGUCUCAGGAGGACCAGAGUCAGGCACAGCACACUCUCCACCAAUUUUUCUGCUGUGCCUUCAUCCCACCUGUGCGCUCACACUUCAGCUUCUCUGUAAGGCUCCUUUGCUGGUUUGCCAGCUCUCGGCUUUGUGUGCUGGAAACAUCUUGAACAAAAUGUCACAGAGAGCAUCUCGGCAGUGUCCUGCUGACUGAGGACCUGGGACUGCCGAGGCUGCCAUCUGCCUGCAGCCUCUCAGAGGUAAUUAUACCAGAGUCUCUCAAGGCCUGGAACAAGGGGGAUGUCAAAUGCACUUUCCUUUCUCUAGGAAGGUAAUUUUCAUUUUCUCAGCUCACUUGGACCUGCAUAUCCUUGUGGUCUCCAGGUGUGAGAAAGGUGCAGGGAGAGAAGAAAAGGU
rnacentral:lncRNA from 10 species